rnacentral:rRNA from 1 species
GAGUGAUCGAAAGAUGAAAAGCACUUUGGAAAGAGAGUCAAAAAGUACGUGAAAUUGUUGAAAGGGAAGCGCUUGCAACCAGACCUGCCCGCGGGCGAUCAGCCGUCCUUCUGGGCGGUGCACUCGCCCGCGAUCAGGCCAGCAUCGGUUCGGGCGGUCGGAUAAAGGCCUCGGGAACGUGGCUCCCCUCGGGGAGUGUUAUAGCCCUUGGUGCAAUGCGGCCUGCCCGGACCGAGGACCGCGCUUCGGCUAGGAUGCUGGCGUAAUGGUUGUAAGCGGCCCGUCUUGAAACACGGACCAAGGAGUCGACCAACUAUGCGAGUGUUUGGGCGUCAAACCCACACGCGCAAUGAAAGUGAACGGAGGUGGGAACCCCUCGCGGGGCGCACCAUCGACCGAUCCAGAUGUCUUCGGAUGGAUUUGAGUACGAGCAUAGCUGGUCGGACCCGAAAGAUGGUGAACUAUGCCUGAAUAGGGUGAAGCCAGAGGAAACUCUGGUGGAGGCUCGCAGCGGUUCUGACGUGCAAAUCGAUCGUCAAAUUUGGGCAUAGGGGCGAAAGACUAAUCGAACCAUCUAGUAGCUGGUUCCAGCCGAAGUC